AAUCACGCCAACAAAAUAUUCGUGGUAAUAUAUGGCCUCAUUUCAACACUUAGGUCGGGGGUUUGAAUCCCCUAAAGUGCAUAUUUUUUCAGAAUUUCGCUAACACCCAAAAUGGUCGGUUCGAUAAACUGUCAGUUUGAGAAAAUAUGCAAGCCCUAGAGGACACAACCCAACCCCAAUUCCAUAUCCAACCCUGAGAAGAGAGAGCUAGCCAUGCACAUAUAUCCAACAUGUAGACAACUAUGAACUGAUGGCCCUCUGAAGUAAUCUUGGCCACCAUACCUAUUAUUCAUCCACAUUAACCAUAUGAAAUAUCUAGUAAGUGAACAAAUUUCUUCUCUCUUAAAACCAAGGCAACUUUUAUUUGUUUUGAAUACAUGCAUGGCGG
rnacentral:lncRNA from 1 species